rnacentral:rRNA from 1 species
GACGAACGCUGGCGGCGUGCUUAACACAUGCAAGUCAAGGAGAACAUUUUCUUCGGAAAAUUAUUAAACUGGCGAACGGGUGAGUAACACGUAGGUAACCUGCCUUGAAGAUUGGGAUAACUCCGGGAAACCGGAGCUAAUACCGAAUAAUGCAGCGAAUCCAUAGGGAUAUGUUGUUAAAGCGGGCUUCGGCUCGCACUUCGAGAUGGGCCUGCGGCCGAUUAGCUUGUUGGUGAGGUAAUGGCUCACCAAGGCGAUGAUCGGUAGCUGGUCUGAGAGGAUGAUCAGCCACACUGGGAUUGAGAUACGGCCCAGACUCCUACGGGAGGCAGCAGUGGGGAAUUUUGCGCAAUGGACGAAAGUCUGACGCAGCAACGCCGCGUGAUUGAUGAAGCUUUUAGGAGUGUAAAGAUCUGUCGUGAGGGAAGAAAAACCUGGAUGUAAAUAAUGUUCAGGCGUGACGGUACCUCACAAGAAAGCACCGGCUAACUUCGUGCCAGCAGCCGCGGUAAUACGAGGGGUGCUAGCGUUGUCCGGAAUUACUGGGCGUAAAGGGUCCGUAGGCGUCUUGACAAGUUGAUCGUUAAAUCCACCGGCUCAACCGGUGAUCUGCGGUCAAAACUUGCAGGAUAGAAUAUGUGAGAGGAAAGUAGAAUUCCUGGUGUAGCGGUGACAUGCGUAGAUAUCAGGAGGAACACCAAUGGCGAAGGCAGCUUUCUGGCACAAUAUUGACGCUGAGGGACGAAAGCGUGGGGAGCGAACAGGAUUAGAUACCCUGGUAGUCCACGCCGUAAACGAUGAGUACUUGGUGGUGGGAGAUUCGACCCUCUCACUAUCGGAGCUAACGCGUUAAGUACUCCGCCUGGGGACUACGGCCGCAAGGCUGAAACU